UCAACCAAGAAAUCACCAUGUUGUUGCACCUAUCCCACAACCUUUGUUGAGCCACAUUAGUGGCAGGUCGGGAGUAUGUGCCAUCAACAAAACAGAUUUUGUUUUUGGCUGAUAAGGGAACAAUCAUUUUACGUCUCCAUCCCCCAUAUCCACUACCCGAGAAAGGAGUGGGAACAAGAGAUACCCCAGGGACAUCAGAAGAAUAUACAAAUAGGGGACUGGAAGAGUCUACAGAAGGGGAGGCACCAGUACCAGUACUUGUGUUAGAAGCCAUAGUCAAUGAACCGGCUUAGAUGAACAACUUUUCAACAAACAGAAUACACCCAAACCGGUAUUCAUACACAACAACCAACAAAUAGAACACAGUCAAGUCAGGUAUUCACAAACAACACCAGAUGUUCACAAGUACACAGUCAAAUAAUCACAUAUAAUACCGAAGAUAAGGACAGAGUUACCCUCCUUNNNN
rnacentral:lncRNA from 1 species